GCGACCUGUGACGGUCUCGGUGGACGUGCGGCAACGGACUCUUGAUCCGCAGGUUCUGGGUUCGAAUCCCAGGGGGCGCA
rnacentral:tRNA from 1 species